AAAUUAGUGCUAGGUUUCCUAAUCUUUAUCUCUUUUAUGCCUCUCUCUUUUCAAUGAUGAUCUCUUUCACCAACUUUAGCUUUUGUCGAUUGAUGCUUUGGUUGUGUUCUCCGGUGGAUGGGAAAGUGAAAUGCUUUUUGUACCCCUAUGAGGGAUCUAGUCAGCUGAGAUAAGCUUCUAUAACCAAAUAUAGUAGGGAAAAAGAUAUAAGGAUGCUUGGACCCACGAGUAUUUGGUUAACAGCCUCAUUCCCAGGUUUAUCAAGCUCAAAAUGUCCCAUAAACUCUCCCAUGAUGCUGAGAGUCCUUUUUGUUGGCUAAAAUAUCUUAGUCUAGAUAGUACAUGCACUCUUUUUGAUACUUCUAUAGAAUACACAUAUGUUGCAUGUAAACUAUUCAGCUGUAACCUCUUUUGCCCUUUUAUCCUUUAGAUGGUGUAAUUCUUAAGUAUGGACACUGCCAUUUAUCACUAUUUAUGAUAUUUUUCCUCUUUUUAUAGC